rnacentral:lncRNA from 1 species
UAGUAGACUUAUUUUCUUACAUAUAUGAGAAUUUUGAGAUAAAUUGAAUGGUGCAAAAGAGAGAUUUUAGUACUAAAAGAUUAGCAUUAAGAUUGGAUAAGAAAGCUAACCAACUUUCGAGCAGAUUUUAGGAUUUUUCUUUGAUUUGGUAAGUGCGAUUGUCUUCAAAUUUGUCAUACUUGAUUGUAAUUAAGAAAUUGAAAGGUGUAUUAAAUUUUAAAGAAGAUCAAUAAUUUAAUUAAAAGAUAUCGAGGUUCUAAACUACCUUAGGAUUUAGUUAGGAUUUGAUUUAGGGUUUAGAAUUUGGUUAGGAUUUGAUUAGGAUUUGAUUUAGGAUUCAUAAUUUUAUUAGAGUUUAAUUUAGGAUUUAGGAUUUGAUUAGGAUUUAGUUAAGAAUUUAGGAUUUGGUUAGGAUUUGAUUAGGAUUUGAUUUAGAGUUUAAAAUUUGGUUAGGAUUUGAUUUAGAGCUUAGGAUUUGGUUAUGAUUUGGUUUAAAAUUUGAUUAAGAUUUGAUUUAGGAUUAAAGAUUUUUUAGGAUUAGAUUGAAGUCUAUUAGGAUUUUAACUAGGAUUAAAUUAGAACUUAAUUGAGAUUUAUUUAAGAUAUAUUGUUACUAUUUUAAUAUUUUUUUAAGGCUUCUUAAGGAUUCUUUUAAGGUUUAUUAUGGAUUAUCUUUCAAUUU